rnacentral:rRNA from 1 species
AUUCGCGGCCUAUCAGCUUGUUGGUGGGGUAAUGGCCUACCAAGGCGACGACGGGUAGCCGACCUGAGAGGGUGAUCGGCCACACUGGGACUGAGACACGGCCCAGACUCGUACGGGAGGCAGCAGUGGGGAAUAUUGCACAAUGGGCGCAAGCCUGAUGCAGCGACGCCGCGUGAGGGAUGACGGCCUUCGGGUUGUAAACCUCUUUCAGCAGGGACGAAGCUUUCGGGUGACGGUACCUGCAGAAGAAGCACCGGCCAACUACGUGCCAGCAGCCGCGGUAAUACGUAGGGUGCGAGCGUUGUCCGGAAUUACUGGGCGUAAAGAGCUCGUAGGCGGUUUGUCGCGUCGUCUGUGAAAUUCUGCAGCUUAACUGCAGGCGUGCAGGCGAUACGGGCAGACUUGAGUACUACAGGGGAGACUGGAAUUCCUGGUGUAGCGGUGAAAUGCGCAGAUAUCAGGAGGAACACCGGUGGCGAAGGCGGGUCUCUGGGUAGUAACUGACGCUGAGGAGCGAAAGCGUGGGUAGCGAACAGGAUUAGAUACCCUGGUAGUCCACGCCGUAAACGGUGGGUACUAGGUGUGGGUUCCAUUUCACGGGAUCCGUGCCGUAGCUAACGCAUUAAGUACCCCGCCUUGGGGACGUACGGGAAAUUUGGG